CAGCAGUCACGGUAAUACAGAGGGUGCGAGCGUUAAUCGGAUUUACUGGGCGUAAAGCGUGCGUAGGCGGCUUCUUAAGUCGGAUGUGAAAUCCCUGAGCUUAACUUAGGAAUUGCAUUCGAUACUGGGAAGCUAGAGUAUGGGAGAGGAUGGUAGAAUUCCAGGUGUAGCGGUGAAAUGCGUAGAGAUCUGGAGGAAUACCGAUGGCGAAGGCAGCCAUCUGGCCUAAUACUGACGCUGAGGUACGAAAGCAUGGGGAGCAAACAGGAUUAGAUACCCCUGUAGUCCCUGUCUCUUAUAC
rnacentral:rRNA from 1 species